rnacentral:rRNA from 1 species
AGAGUUUGAUCAUGGCUCAGAUUGAACGCUGGCGGCAGGCCUAACACAUGCAAGUCGAACGGUAACAGGAAGCAGCUUGCUGCUUCGCUGACGAGUGGCGGACGGGUGAGUAAUGUCUGGGAAACUGCCUGAUGGAGGGGGAUAACUACUGGAAACGGUAGCUAAUACCGCAUAAUGUCGCAAGACCAAAGAGGGGGACCUUCGGGCCUCUUGCCAUCGGAUGUGCCCAGAUGGGAUUAGCUUGUUGGUGGGGUAACGGCUCACCAAGGCGACGAUCCCUAGCUGGUCUGAGAGGAUGACCAGCCACACUGGAACUGAGACACGGUCCAGACUCCUACGGGAGGCAGCAGUGGGGAAUAUUGCACAAUGGGCGCAAGCCUGAUGCAGCCAUGUCGCGUGUAUGAAGAAGGCCUUCGGGUUGUAAAGUACUUUCAGCGGGGAGGAAGGGAGUAAAGUUAAUAUCUUUGCUCAUUGACGUUAUCCGCAGAAGAAGCACCGGCUAACUCCGUGCCAGCAGCCGCGGUAAUACGGAGGGUGCAAGCGUUAAUCGGAAUUACUGGGCGUAAAGCGCACGCAGGCGGUUUGUUAAGUCAGAUGUGAAAUCCCCGGGCUCAACCUGGGAACUGCAUCUGAUACUGGCAAGCUUGAGUCUCGUAGAGGGGGGUAGAAUUCCAGGUGUAGCGGUGAAAUGCGUAGAGAUCUGGAGGAAUACCGGUGGCGAAGGCGGCCCCCUGGACGAAGACUGACGCUCAGGUGCGAAAGCGUGGGGAGCAAACAGGAUUAGAUACCCUGGUAGUCCACGCCGUAAACGAUGUCGACUUGGAGGUUGUGCCCUUGAGGCGUGGCUUCCGGAGCUAACGCGUUAAGUCGACCGCCUGGGGAGUACGGCCGCAAGGUUAAAACUCAAAUGAAUUGACGGGGGCCCGCACAAGCGGUGGAGCAUGUGGUUUAAUUCGAUGCAACGCGAAGAACCUUACCUGGUCUUGACAUCCACGGAAGUUUUCAGAGAUGAGAAUGUGCCUUCGGGAACCGUGAGACAGGUGCUGCAUGGCUGUCGUCAGCUCGUGUUGUGAAAUGUUGGGUUAAGUCCCGCAACGAGCGCAACCCUUAUCCUUUGUUGCCAGCGGUCCGGCCGGGAACUCAAAGGAGACUGCCAGUGAUAAACUGGAGGAAGGUGGGGAUGACGUCAAGUCAUCAUGGCCCUUACGACCAGGGCUACACACGUGCUACAAUGGCGCAUACAAAGAGAAGCGACCUCGCGAGAGCAAGCGGACCUCAUAAAGUGCGUCGUAGUCCGGAUUGGAGUCUGCAACUCGACUCCAUGAAGUCGGAAUCGCUAGUAAUCGUGGAUCAGAAUGCCACGGUGAAUACGUUCCCGGGCCUUGUACACACCGCCCGUCACACCAUGGGAGUGGGUUGCAAAAGAAGUAGGUAGCUUAACCUUCGGGAGGGCGCUUACCACUUUGUGAUUCAUGACUGGGGUGAAGUCGUAACAAGGUAACCGUAGGGGAACCUGCGGUUGGAUCACCU